UCUCUUGAUUUUCUCGGGGAAAUAUAUUUUUCCGGGAAAGGAUAAGGGGUUUGGGCGAUCAGGCAGCGGCCAGACAACCGUAGGGAUGGUAUCCACAGAUGAUGGGUUUAUUUUAUCCCAUUUGUCUACUGAUUCCAUCUCAUAUUU